rnacentral:rRNA from 1 species
UACGUAGGGUGCGAGCGUUAAUCGGAAUUACUGGGCGUAAAGCGUGCGCAGGCGGUUCGUUGUGUCUGAUGUGAAAGCCCCGGGCUCAACCUGGGAAUGGCAUUGGAAACUGGCGAGCUAGAGUGUGGCAGAGGGGGGUGGAAUUCCGCGUGUAGCAGUGAAAUGCGUAGAGAUGCGGAGGAACGCCGAUGGCGAAGGCAGCCCCCUGGGCUGACACUGACGCUCAGGCACGAAAGCGUGGGGAGCAAACAGG